rnacentral:rRNA from 1 species
UACGGAGUGUGCAAGCGUUGUUCGGAUUCACUGGGCUUAAAGGGCGCGUAGGCGGACUGGUAAGUCCGGGGUGAAAUCUUUCGGCUCAACCGGAAAAGUGCCUUGGAAACUGCCAGUCUCGAGGGGGGUAGGGGCCUGUGGAACUUCGGGUGGAGCGGUGAAAUGCGUUGAUAUCCGAAGGAACGCCGGUGGCGAAAGCGACGGGCUGGACCCCUUCUGACGCUGAGGCGCGAAAGCCAGGGGAGCAAACGGG